rnacentral:lncRNA from 1 species
CCUAGAUCCUAUCAAGCCACUGUUCUGUUAAAUGUUUUUGAAUAGUUUCCAGUAGACCACAGAAAAAGUACAAACACCUGGCAUUCAAGGCCUCCUGAUCUCACUGCAGCCUAGCUUGUGGCUGAUCACCUCUUUCCCUUCCUACACCUGCUCUGUUUCCUGUCAGAUUUAGAGGCAGGUGGGCUGGGUGAGGCCCCGGACCAGCUGGAGGAGGGAAAGGGAAAUUGUUGUCCUGCCACAAGAGACAAAUCAGUCAAGAUGUCCACGAUUUCAAAGCACUUUGGACUGAAAUACAAAGAAGAAUCGUACAUCUUUAAAGAGCUGGAGAAGGUUCGCAAGGAGACCAAAAAGGAAUUUCUCCGAAUCAAGGAGAAGUUGGCCGCCAAGCCAGCAGUGGAUGAAAUCCCCGUCUUCGGCCUCCGGCUCCCCAGCCCGGCCCGGUAUGCGGCGAAGGGAAGCGCUUCCCGCGUCGGAUCCCCCAAACCAGCAGGCUCCCCUCGGGUUAAAGGUCGUGCGCGCCCAACUGCGACCCUCCCGCAGCCGGCGCCCCGAGGCGCCCCGCGGCCCCCGGGCCCGAGGGAGGUGGCCGCUCCCGGGAAGGGCCGGCCCUUCCGCCCCCAGGACUUCUACUUGCGGAGCUCCGCGUUCCUCCGGCGCCGGCCCCAGAAACCGCCAGUCAUCGCGCCCAGGGCCGGCACGUCCAGACCCGUGGUCCUGAUGCCGCCGCGCGUGCCCACGGGCAAGGCCAGGGCUCACCGGGGCUCCAGGACCCCGCCGCCGGCGGACUCCAAGCCCGUGCUCGACCCGGCCCGGGGGCGCGUGGCCAGCCUGGAGCCGGCUCAGCUCGCCGAGGUCGGCCAGGCCAGAGAGAGGCUGCCCGACUCCCUUUCCAGCGACGAGGGAGACGCGGAGGCGGCCGGCCGGCGGAAGAGAGUGAGGAUUAACACCCGCUUCCUGCUCGAGGACUCGGAUGGCGAGUCGCGGGAAGCCCCCGGGUCCUCUUCCAAAACCGACCGCGAGAGCACCCCGCCGAGCGACUCCCGGGAGGUCAACCCGCAGGCCCCGCAGCCAGUGCGUGCGAUCCCCAAGUCCAUCGAGGAGAUCAUCGCCUCGCUGCAGUCCGAGGCCCAGUUGGCCUCCGACCAGACCAUCAAAGAGCUCAUCCACAGCGUCCUUGGGCAGAACUACGACAUUAAAAUGGAAGAACAAAGUUUUGCUCUACUGGAGUUAUAAAUCAAAGAACCUACCAGGAUCUGGACAAAGAAAAGCCAUCUAUUGUUUGACUGUCAUAGGUACAAUUGGGAAGGACUAGUUUGGGCAAAUCUUUUCAGAGUGGCAGACGUGUUUAUUAUACUUUUCUCUUUAUAUUCUCUUUGUGCAUUACUUUAUUCUCACAGACGUAACAGCUUAACCUAGUACAAAUGAUGUAAUGAUUAAGAAGUUUCUUGAUUUACAGUUUUUUUUUUUCCUGUGAAGUUUUAAAAUCUCUCAGAUAUCAUUUGGAUGCCUUCAAUAAAUGCAAAAUGUUCAUGUGUUUAAUUUCAGUUUAUUUUAAAAGAUGGAAAAUAAUAUUUUUAUUUGUUCUUGAGAAAAAAUUCUUAUUCCUUUAGCUGGUUUGAUUGUAAUAAUGAUUUUGAACCAAGCUAGAAGUUGUUCCUUUAAAAUAAACUUCUUUGUUGGAUACAAA